AGGGUGGUCCAAGCCUAUCUCGCGGGAGC
rnacentral:sRNA from 1 species